UUCUAUCCUGGGAGGAAAGAUUCCAAAACCUCAGGUACAUUGAGGGGGAUAAUUUCCUUAAAGACACACUGUGCAUUCAGUGGGCUCGAUUUUUGUUCUUACAUAUUUUCCAGACACUGUUCUUAGUUUUCCAGUUUCUAUUUUAUAUUUUCAGAAAUUAUUGAUACUGUUUUAACGUUUUUUUUAUAGUACAGAUUAAUAACAAUCUUAUAACACUAUAGUCUACAGACGAGGCACUUAAUAGCAAAAAGGAAGCAGCAUCCUUGCUUUUUAAUUGUAUCAUCCAACUGAUAAGUCCAUCUAAAAAGUUGGUGGCUAUGUUUUUUCUUUUUACAUUUUGGCAUGUUGGAACUUUAGUCAUUUAAAUUAAGUCCAAACUAUGUCAUGUAUUGUGGUCGUUUUCCUUUUCUUUCUUUCUUUUUUUUUUUUUUUUUUUGGCAGGUGUGGGCGGGAGAGAGAAGAAAUUAGAUGGUUAUUUAAAGUAGCUGUGACUUGAGCUGAAGAGAUCUCGUUUUCUUGAUAGGAGAGAAUAGAAGCAAGUAAUGUGUUUGCAUCGCAAGAAGCUGAAGAACUAACUAGAGGCAUCUGCAAAGACUUUUGUACCUGCUGAUGUUCCAGCACCUCUUGAGGUGCCAAACGAAGAUCAAACACCUAAACCAGUUGGUCUUACACGAGAGCAAAUUAUAGCAAUUAAGGCUGCCAUUGUGAAUUCCCAAGCUCUCGAGGAGGUGGCCAGACUUGAACAGGCUUUGAAGUAAGGCCAGCUUCCUGCGGAUCUCAAUGUUGGUGAUUAUGAUGUUUUUGCUAAAAAGGAAGAUGCUACAGAAGAUAAGAUGGAGUAGACAUCUGGGGUGAUUCAGUAUGCGCGUUGGUUUGAGAUGGAUCAUUCAUAUGCCCUCACUGUCCGGUCAUAGACAGGAUGAAAUUCUGUGGAGGAGGAGGUUUAUCUUUUGGAAGCAGAAUUAAUUAAUGCAUGUAAUUGAAGCCAAUGCCCUCCAUUUUAUCAUUAAGAACUGUUCUUUGCCUCCCGGACUACAAAAGAGAGAGUUUAGAACACGAAUAGCUUAAUAGCAUCAGGUGACAGCUGAGCUAAGGUAUGUAGCAUUGAAGUUGAAUCAGAGACUGAAAAAUAGAAUUUUUAUGCUUAUCUCAAACCUUUUUGCUGUUUUGUUUUCCUCUGGUAAACUAAAUGAAACGCCUAUUGUUUCCAGGCCAUUUGAUUUGAAAUCUAAAGUUGAGUUCCAGUCUCUCCCAACCCGAAA